AAAUCGCGAAGGUUCUUUGCAAAACCCCCAUUCAUUUCUCAUCUUCUUCAUUCUGCUCUCUCUCUGCAUCCAAUUCUCAAUUUCGAAUCAACCAUGUCGCACUUCGGAAGAUCCGGUCCUCCCGAUAUCUCCGACACCUACUCUCUACUCGUCCUCAACAUCACUUUUCGUACAACCCCCGAUGACCUAUUUCCUCUCUUUGACAAAUACGGCAAAGUUGUUGACAUUUUCGUCCCCAAAGAUAGAAGGACCGGUGAAUCAAGAGGUUUCGCUUUUGUGCGUUACAAGUAUGCUGAUGAAGCUUCUAAGGCCGUUGAUAGGCUCGACGGAAGAAUGGUUGAUGGUCGUGAAAUAACUGUUCAGUUUGCGAAAUAUGGCCCUAAUGCUGAGAGGAUUCAGAAAGGAAGGAUUAUUGAAACAUCCCCAAGAUCGAAGAGCUCAAGGAGCCGCAGUCCCAGCAGGAGAAGGCACCGUGAUGAUUACAAAGGCAAGGAUUACAGGAGGAGAAGUCGCAGCAGGAGUUAUGAUAGGUAUGAACGCGACAGGUACCGCGGUGGGAGAGACAGGGACUAUCGUCGCCGAAGCAGAAGCCGUAGUGCCAGUCCUGAUCACAAGGGCCGUGGAAGGGGACGCUAUGAUGAUGAGCGCCGUAGUGCCAGUCCUGAUUACAAGGGCCGUGGAAGGGGACGCUAUGAUGAUGAGCGCCGUAGUAGAAACCGAAGCAGAUCAGUAGAAAGCCGAUCCCCUGCCCAACGAAGUCCUAGUCCAAUAAGGAGCCCUUCUCCUAAGAAGAGUAUUUCCCCUCAAAGGAGUACUUCUCCCCAGAAAAGUCCACGUCAUGAAAGUCCUGAUAAUCGUAGCCGUGAUGAAAGGUCUCUUACUCCACGAAGUGUCUCACCACGAGGUCGCCCUGAUGUUUCCCCAAGCCCAUCUCCUUGAAAUUCAAAUGGCGAUGAGUAAGCGGUUUUCAGGAUGUAUUCCAGAGACAACUGUACCUGUUGCUGUCUUGAUUCGAACAAUUUGGUCAGUGUGAAUGGUCUUAUCAGAGUCAUUAAAGGAAUUUAUGGCCUAAGUGCAGUUUGUUAUGAUGAUCGGGAGAAGUGACGGGGGCCUGAUAGGCGCGUGUUGAAAUUGUUGCUGUUGAUGCUGUUUUUAUGUCAUUGAUGAUUGUUCGCGAGUUUGGUGCUGGUUGCAAGACUGCUGAUUUUAAAACCGAAUUGUUUUAUCAGUGUGCUGGUUAGAAUGACACUUAGUUGACUUGAUUUUUUGUUGUGAAUGAUUUGAAUUUUGGUAAGCAUUUUUGUUCACGUUUUAUUUUCCUUUUAUAUCUUUCACGUCCUCUGAGAAUUCUGAUUUUGAUCUGGUAAUCAUGAUUGGUCUUCAUCAAUUAAAAUUGUCCUGAGAGGAAUUCUUGAUGCUGUGAUGGACACAAGUUGAAUGUAUUUUGAUGUGGUUGAUGCCUGGUAGGAGUUGGACCUGUCAUUUGUUGAUUGCAGAUAGUAAUUAUAAACAGUGCUACUGAAUAUGAACUCUAAUUUGCUGGUGUAUUACCUCAAUUUGAAUCACAGUGAAGAGGUCAAUGCUAAAAUAUUCAAGGUUACUUUUUAAGGGUAUUUUACUGGAUACUUAUUUAACAUCAACCUUCAAAGUUUAUAAUAUCUGCUACUUAAUGUAGUGGGAUGCCCCGUGAUUGUAGCUGUGAGGUGGUUGCCGAUCCAUCUCUAAUAUGAAUGUAUGUCCGUGAUUGUACCUGAUUGUUGUGCCCUUUUUGCCGGGGUCGUGUUUGCAAUGUUAUUAGCUGUUAGUAGUUGGUACCAGAUGAUGGUUAUUUAGCUGUGCUGCUGGAUGGUUUUUGUUGUUUCUAAAACCAUCAGACGGAGUUCUUUUCUAGUUUCAUCUUUGAUAAUUUAUUCAUUUGUAUGAAAUAAUCUUUGUAUUGUGGUUUGGUUAUUGUUCUGCAGCUGUAAUAAACAUGCAAACUUUAGAGAUCUUUAAUUUGAGGUUUCAGUAGGUUUUUGAAUCA